rnacentral:rRNA from 1 species
GGAGGUAGUGACAAUAAAUCACAAUGCGGGACUAUUUAGUUUUGCAAUUGGAUUGAGAACAAUGUACAAGAGUUAUCGAUAAACAAUUGGAGGGCAAGUCUGGUGCCAGCAGCCGCGGUAAUUCCAGCUCCAAUAGCGUAUAUUAACGUUGUUGCAGUUAAAAAGCUCGUAGUUGAAGUGUGGGGUGAAAGGUUUGUCUUUUGUUUUAAAAGGUGUUCUGCUCACCCCCUCUCCAAUGUGUUGUUAUGGGUAUUAAUUUACUUGUAAUAGCUAUUGGUCAUUUACUGUGAGAAAAUUAGAGUGUUCAAAGCAGGCAUUUGCUUGAAUAUAUUAGCAUGGAAUAAUAGUAAAAGGCUUUUAUGGUCGAUUUAAUUGGUUUGUUCAUGAAAGCAAGAUUAAAAGGGACAGUUGGGGGUAUUCAUAUUCAAUAGUUAGAGGUGAAAUUCUCGGAUUUAUGGAAGAUGAACAAGUGCGAAAGCA